UCGAUGACUGCGCAGAUAUCCGUAUAGAAACUUGAAAUUGUAAAUAUUGCUUCUAAUCAACGGUCUUUGCGUUUAUGGAAUAGAGAAAUGAACUUGGAGUCGCCUCUGUUAUUGUAAUGUACUUCUAAAGAGUUUUUAAAUAAUGUUAUUGAUUUAAAACUUUUUAACAAUGGAGGAAAGUGUGUUUGACAAGAUAACAAACUAAUGGAAUAAAAUGGAUGCAAUGGACGAGCUUAUGAGGUUUGUGGAAUGAUUUAGAGCUGAUCUCCGAAAAAUA
rnacentral:lncRNA from 1 species